AGGUCAUUGGGUGAGUUACUUGCAGGCCCUAACUGACCUAGAAGUACUCAUGAGUCAUGCAAGUAACUGAUACAUCCUACCAGCAAAUUUUGUGGGAUAAAGCUUCUUCGUUUGUGCAUAACUGGGGCAAGCUUUACACUGAAAUAAAGGUGGGUCCAGUGCUUUUUUCUUAGAUAUUUCAGCAUGGCUUGACAUCCUUGAUGCUAUCAGUGUAAGCCAGUUCAAUAUGUUACAAGCAUCUCAUUGGGAAGGUUUUGAUCAUUUGUCCCAAGG